CGUGUCGUGAGAUGUUCGGUUAAGUCCGGCAACGAGCGCAACCCACAUCCUUAGUUGCCAGCAGGUCAAGCUGGGCACUCUAGGGAAACUGCCCGUGAUAAGCGGGAGGAAGGUGUGGAUGACGUCAAGUCCUCAUGGCCCUUACGGGUUGGGCUACACACGUGCUACAAUGGCGGUGACAGUGGGUUAAUCCCAAAAAGCCGUCUCAGUUCGGAUUGUCCUCUGCAACUCGAGGGCAUGAAGUCGGAAUCGCUAGUAAUCGCGGAACAGCAUGCCGCGGUGAAUACGUUCCCGGGCCUU
rnacentral:rRNA from 1 species